AGACAACUUACCCCCGAGACGGGGACAACCACUCGAAAGGGUGGCUAAUACCCGAUACUGCCUGGAGUCGGUGGAUUCCAGGUGAAAGAUGGCCCCUGUUUCAAGCUUUCACUCGGGGAGGGGUUUAUGUCCUAUUAGCUAGUUGGUGAGGUAACGGCUCACCAAGGCGACGAUGGGUAGCCGGCCUGAGAGGGUGACCGGUCACACUGGGACUGAGACACUGCCCAGACUCCUACGGGAGGCUGCAGUCGAGAAUCUUCCGCAAUGCGCGCAAGCGUGACGGAGCGACGCCGCGUGGGUGAUGAAGGCCUUCGGGUUGUAAAACCCUGUUACCUACUAUGAACAAUUGGUGGUGAAUAGCCAGCCAAACUGACGUAAGUAGGAGAGGAAGCACCGGCUAAAUACGUGCCAGCAGCCGCGGUAAUACGUAUGGUGCGAACGUUAUUCGGAAUUACUGGGCAUAAAGGGCGCGUAGGCGGUUUGGUAAGUCUGCAUGUGAAAUCCCUCGGCUUAACCGAGGAACUGCAUCGGAUACUGCCAGACUAGAGUGCAGGAGGGGAGAGCGGAAUUCCUGGUGGAGCGGUGAAAUUCGUAGAUAUUAGGAGGAACACCAGUGGCGAAGGCGACUCUCUGGGCCAAUACUGACGCUGAGG
rnacentral:rRNA from 1 species